UACGUAGGGAGCAAGCGUUGUCCGGAUUCACUGGGUGUAAAGGGUGCGUAGGCGGAAGAAUAAGUCAGUGGUGAAAUCUUACGGCUCAACCGUGAAACUGCCAUUGAUACUGUUUUUCUUGAGUUCGGGAGAGGUUGAUGGAAUUCCAGGUGUAGCGGUGAAGUGCGUAGAUAUCUGGAAGAACACCAGUGGCGAAGGCGGUCAACUGGCCCGAAACUGACGCUGAGGCACGAAAGCGUGGGUAGCGAACAGG
rnacentral:rRNA from 1 species